rnacentral:rRNA from 1 species
UUACGGGAGGCAGCAGUGGGGAAUAUUGCACAAUGGGCGAAAGCCUGAUGCAGCAACGCCGCGUGAGUGAUGAAGGCCUUCGGGUUGUAAAGCUCUGUCUUCUGGGACGAUAAUGACGGUACCAGAGGAGGAAGCCACGGCUAACUACGUGCCAGCAGCCGCGGUAAUACGUAGGUGGCAAGCGUUGUCCGGAUUUACUGGGCGUAAAGGAUGCGUAGGCGGAUACUUAAGUCAGAUGUGAAAAUCCCGGGCUUAACUUGGGAACUGCAUUUGAAACUGGGUAUCUAGAGUGCGGGAGAGGAAAGUGGAAUUCCUAGUGUAGCGGUGAAAUGCGUAGAGAUUAGGAAGAACACCAGUGGCGAAGGCGACUUUCUGGACCGUAACUGACGCUGAGGCAUGAAAGCGUGGGGAGCAAACAGGAUUAGAUACCCCGGUAGU